rnacentral:rRNA from 1 species
CUCAAAUUUGAAAUCUGGCGCAAGCCCGAGUUGUAAUUUGCAGAGGAUGUUUCGGGUGAAGCCACGGUCCAAGUCCCUUGGAACAGGACGUCAUAGAGGGUGAGAACCCCGUACCUGGCCGUCGGUGCCCCCCGCUGUGAAACUCCUUCGACGAGUCGAGUUGUUUGGGAAUGCAGCUCUAAAUUGGUGGUAAAUUCCAUCUAAAGCUAAAUACCGGCCAGAGACCGAUAGCGCACAAGUAGAGUGAUCGAAAGAUGAAAAGCACUUUGAAAAGAGAGUUAAAAAGUACGUGAAAUUGUUGAAAGGGAAGCGCUUGCGGCCAGACUUGCCCGCGGUUGCUCAGCCCGCCUUUUGGCGGGUGCACUCUUCCGCGGUCAGGCCAGCAUCGGUUUGGGCGGUCGGAUAAAGGCGCCGGGAACGUGGCCUCCCCUCGGGGAGGUGUUAUAGCCCGGCGCGCAAUGCGACCAGCCCGGACCGAGGUUCGCGCUUUGCUAGGAUGCUGGCGUAAUGGCCGUAAGCGGCCCGUCUUGAAACACGGACCAAGGAGUCUAACAUCUAUGCGAGUGUUUGGGUGUCAAACCCGUGCGCGUAAUGAAAGUGAACGGAGGUGGGAACCGCAAGGUGCACCAUCGACCGAUCCUGAUGUCUUCGGAAGGAUUUGAGUAAGAGCAUAGCUGUUGGGACCCGAAAGAUGGUGAACUAUGCGUGAAUAGGGUGAAGCCAGAGGAAACUCUGGUGGAGGCUCGCAGCGGUUCUGACGUGCAAAUCGAUCGUCAA